CAGCAGCCCGGCUUGAACGGAGCUCUUUUGCUGUUAUUGCGAUUCUUGAAACGGCAUAAUAACGGUUUCGGUUCGUUUGCAAUGACAGAAAAAAGCGGGAGUGGAAGACGGAAAUAGC
rnacentral:misc_RNA from 1 species